CCUACGGGAGGCAGCAGUAAGGAAUAUUGGACAAUGGACGCAAGUCUGAUCCAGCCAUGCCGCGUGAAGGAUUAAGGCCCUCUGGGUUGUAAACUUCUUUUAUAGGGGACGAAAAAGGGCUUUCUAGCUCGUCUGACGGUACCCUAUGAAUAAGCACCGGCUAACUCCGUGCCAGCAGCCGCGGUAAUACGGAGGGUGCAAGCGUUAUCCGGAUUCACUGGGUUUAAAGGGUGCGUAGGCGGGCAGUUAAGUCAGUGGUGAAAUCUUCGAGCUCAACUCGGAAACUGCCAUUGAUACUAUCUGUCUUGAAUACUGUGGAGGUGAGCGGAAUAUGUCAUGUAGCGGUGAAAUGCUUAGAUAUGACAUAGAACACCGAUUGCGAAGGCAGCUCGCUACACAAAUAUUGACGCUGAGGCACGAAAGCGUGGGGAUCAAACAGGAUUAGAUACCCUGGUAGUCCACGCCCUAAACUAUGGAUACUCGACAUUUGCGAUACACAGUAAGUGUCUGAGCGAAAGCAUUAAGUAUCCCACCUGGGAAGUACGACCGCAAGGUUGAAACUCAAAGGAAAUUGACGGGCNGAGACGAGCGAGGACGACGACGAGGGGAGGAGG
rnacentral:rRNA from 1 species